AGUGGCGGACGGGUGCGUAACGCGUAUGCAACUUAGCCACUACAGGGAAAUAGCCCGGGGAAACUCGGAUUAAUGUCCCAUAAUGCAAUUGAUUCGCAUGGAUUUAUUGUUAAAGAUUUAUUGGUAGUGGAUGGGCAUGCGUAGGAUUAGCUAGUUGGUAGUGUAAUGGACUACCAAGGCUACGAUCCUUAGGGGGUCUGAGAGGAUGAUCCCCCACACUGGUACUGAGAUACGGACCAGACUCCUACGGGAGGCAGCAGUAGGGAAUAUUGGGCAAUGGGUGAGAGCCUGACCCAGCCAUGCCGCGUGCAGGAAGACGGCCCUCAGGGUUGUAAACUGCUUUUCUACGGGAAGAAAGAGGUUGUGCGCAACCAGUUGACGGUACCGUAGGAAUAAGCACCGGCUAACUCCGUGCCAGCAGCCGCGGUAAUACGGAGGGUGCAAGCGUUGUCCGGAUUUAUUGGGUUUAAAGGGUACGUAGGCGGGCGUCUAAGUCAGUGGUGAAAGCCUACCGCUCAACGGUGGAAUUGCCAUUGAUACUGGAUGUCUUGAGUAUAGUAGAGGUGGGCGGAAUUCAUGGUGUAGCGGUGAAAUGCAUAGAUACCAUGAGGAACACCGAUAGGGAAGCCAGCUCACUAGACUAUUACUGACGCUAAGGUACGAAAGCGUGGGGAGCGAACAGGAUUAGAUACCCU
rnacentral:rRNA from 1 species